AUUUGCAGCACAAUUGUCUAAAGUGAUUGUAGACAAUUUUGAGUCAAUGUUCCAGUCCAUCAAACAUUCAACAAGUACUUGACAAAGUCUUUCACUCGUGUGAGGGGCUGGAACAUAAAUGAACCUAAAAUAACAAGGAACAUAAAUAACUAACUUACAUUUAAAAAUUUUAUCAUACAAAAACAGCUAGUAGGAUAAAAGAAAUUUAAACUUUAUUACCUCAAAAUCCGACUUUGUAAAGUCCAAGUGCCAUCAAUGUAGUGAACUGUGACCGCCAUGUAACCCUUUUUUUGGUUGCUUGCAGUCCACAUGUCUGUGGUAAUGGCCACUCUUCCUUCAUGAGUGUCUAGCAUCUUCAUAGUACAUUGCCUCUCAAUAUCAUAGAUUUUCAAAAUCUCCUUCUUGAUAGUGUUUCGACUAGGAACUAGAAACAAUGGUUGGAGAGAACCUAAUAUUCUCCUAAAACCAAUAUGAUCCACUAUUGAUAGUGGAUAAUCAUGCAUGACAAUUGCAUUUGCAAUCAACUUCUUUGUUUUCUCUGCAUCAUAAUUUCCAAAGCCUAUCUCUUGCUUGCCUUGGAUGGCUUUAGGCAUGAUGAAUGUUUGCCCUUUGUCAUGGCCUCUCGUCUUAAUCUUCUUCUGAACACACCUAUUUGCAUGGCCACGCAAGUGAGUUGUUCCAUGCGUUGAAUUGCCACUAAGAUGUUUCUUGCACCACUUGCAUACUGCCUUUACUUCCCCAUUCACUUUAACCUUAUCAAAAUCAUUCCAUACCUCACUUUUUGGCUUCUUUGUUGGAGGUUGUGUUGAAUCUGCAGCAUCUUGCCCAUCAUGAGUUGAAUCAUUUAGUGAGAGACCUUCAGGUGUAGGAUUAGAAGAUCCUUCCGGACUUGGUUCAUACAUGCUUUUCUGUGUAGGAUUAGAAGUUCCUUUCCGGAGUUGUGUUCACUUGAUCCAUUUUCGUGUCUCCCAUAACUAUCAAGGUUCCAGUCCAUCAAACAUUCGACAAGUACUUGACAAAGUCUUUCACUAGUGUGAGGGGCUGGAACAUAAAUGAACCUAAAAUAACAAGGAACAUAAAUAACUAACUUACAUUUAAAAAUUUUAUCAUACAAAAACAGCUAGUAGGAUAAAAGAAAUUUAAACUUUAUU
rnacentral:lncRNA from 1 species